CUGGACAGCUCAAACUGCAAUCCUCCAGAGCUGUUUCCCAGAUAGGUAGAACUUAAAUGCUUGAGCCACUAGUGCCCAGCUUGAAAGAAUUACUUUGACUCAUCUUACUUGAAAUGUUUCUCCCCUCAUAUUGAAAAAUAUGUAUCAUUAGGCCACAAAUAUCUUGGGGCAAGUUGCUGAGGAAGGAGAAGACUUUGCUAGAAGAUUUCCAAGGCCUUGCCUGGACUCCAUAGGAGAGUGCUGAAUCUACUGAACUAUCACGUUCCGGGUUCUGCUACGAAUGUGUGCUAUGCAUUCAACUCAAGAGGGGAAUGAAGAAUGUCUGAAUACCUGAAAGUGGUAUGGACACCGCGGCUGUUCAACUUUGCUUUGCGAUGCUAACUUCAAGCCCAGGAUCCACCAGUUCUCACAACCCUACCUUGCCCCAUCCCAAUACAGCUUGUACCUCUUUGCUCUUGCCGUGGCCAUUGGUGAGGAGCAGUCGCCACAUCAGAAGAGCCCAGAGUGAAGCCAAGAGGGAGCUGCUCUUUUUACAGGCUCCACUUGGUCAGUCAUCUGUCGCCCUGACUUUCCACAGCACAGAUGCCAUCAUCAAUCUUCACCUUCACUUGGAAUUUCAGUUGUCUCUACAGCACAGGAUGCCAUGUACGUUCUGGU